AUAGAGCCUUAGUAGUAUAAUUAAUACACUGGUCUUG
rnacentral:tRNA from 1 species